UACGUAGGGUGCGAGCGUUGUCCGGAAUUAUUGGGCGUAAGGGCUCGUAGGCGGUCUGUCGCGUCGAAAGUGAAAACUCAGGGCUUAACCCUGAGCCUGCUUCCGAUACGGGCAGACUAGAGGUAUGCAGGGGAGAACGGAAUUCCUGGUGUAGCGGUGAAAUGCGCAGAUAUCAGGAGGAACACCGGUGGCGAAGGCGGUUCUCUGGGCAUUACCUGACGCUGAGGAGCGAAAGCAUGGGGAGCGAACGGG
rnacentral:rRNA from 1 species